AUGGCCGAGAGCAGCAGCAGCCAUGCUCACCAUCCUCAGCAGCAGCCCACCGUCGCCACCUGCAAGGCAUCGGAGGAGCCGAACAAGGGCGUGCGGCACCUGUGCGAGCGCGGGGUGACGGCCCUCCCGCCGCGCUACGUGCUCCCGCCCUCCGACCGCCCGGCGCCGGCUGCACCGCGCGGCAUCCCGGUCAUCGACAUGGCGCGCCUCCGCUCCACGGCCCCCUCCGAGCGCGCCGCGGAGCUGGCGCGGCUCGACGCGGCGUGCCGCGACCUGGGCUUCUUCCAGGCGGUGAACCACGGCGCGGGCGACAAGGCGAGGGCGAUGCUGGACGUGGCGGCGCGCUUCUUCGCGCUGCCGUUCGAGGAGCGGGCGCGGCACAUGUCCCCCGACAUCCGGGCGCCGGUGCGGUACGGCACCAGCUUCAACCAGCUCAACGACGGCGUGCUCUGCUGGCGCGACUUCCUCAAGCUGCUCUGCAACCCGGCCAGGCUCGACGACGUCGUGCCAUCGUGGCCCAACAACCCAUCCGACCUCAGGGAGGUGAUGUCAGCGUACGCCCGCGCGAACCAGGGUUUGUUCCGGGAGCUGAUGGAGGCGGCGCUCGAGGCGAUGGGGAUCACCGGCGAGGGCGUGCUGGAGGAGCUCGACUGCGGGACGCAGAUGAUGAUGGUCAACUGCUUCCCGGCGUGCCCGGAGCCGGAGCUCACGCUAGGGAUGCCGCCGCACUCCGACUACGGCUUCCUCACCCUCCUCCUCCAGGACCAGGUCAAUGGCCUAGAGGUCUGUCAGGGCGAUGACGAUUGGCUCCUCGUCGACCCCCUCCCUGGAGCCCUCAUCAUAAAUGUCGGCGAUCACCUCGAGAUAUUCAGCAACGGGCGGUACAAGAGCGUGUUGCAUCGGGUGCGAGUGAACUCAACGCAAUUGCGGAUCUCGGUUGCGUCGCUGCACAGCCUUCCACCAGAACGGGUAAUCGGCCCUGCACCGGAGCUUCUCGCCGAUGGCACCCCACGGCGGUACAUGGACACCGACCUGACCACCUUCCUUGACUACCUCGCCUCCGCCGAGGGGAAGCACAAGACCUUCCUCCAGUCCAGGAGGAUCACUACGUAA
rnacentral:rRNA from 1 species